rnacentral:rRNA from 1 species
UGGGGAAUAUUGCACAAUGGGGGAAACCCUGAUGCAGCGACGCCGCGUGGAGGAAGAAGGUCUUCGGAUUGUAAACUCCUGUUGUUGGGGAAAAGAAGGAUGGUACCCAACAAGGAAGUGACGGCUAACUACGUGCCAGCAGCCGCGGUAAAACGUAGGUCACGAGCGUUGUCCGGAAUUACUGGGUGUAAAGGGAGCGCAGGCGGGUAUGCAAGUUGGGAGUGAAAUACAUGGGCUCAACCCAUGAACUGCUCUCAAAACUGUGUAUCUUGAGUAGUGCAGAGGUAGGCGGAAUUCCCGGUGUAGCGGUGGAAUGCGUAGAUAUCGGGAGGAACACCAGUGGCGAAGGCGGCCUACUGGGCACCAACUGACGCUGAGGCUCGAAAGUGUGGGUAGCAAACAGG